ACACAAGAGGGGACCCUAAUAUUUAGGAACACCUCCAUAGCUGCCACCCUAUCUUCAACCUCAAAACUCACUGGAAAACACUUCCUAUCAGCGACAUCUGCUGCUGUCCCUUACCCCUCGCCGAUGGAUCUCACAGCAGCCACCGUUGUCGUCGUUGUUGCCUCUUCACCUCACCACCCAAACACACGUUGCUGACCCCUUUCUUCUUCUACGAUCAGAACACCACGCCCUCACCAGCCGCCGACCAGCAACACCCAGCGACGCCCAGUUCUGCAGAUCCAAGAUGACACAAAAUGACUGCUGCUCACCUCCUCACGACCCCCCAAGCAAUGAACCAGAUCUCUUUCUUCACCUCCAUCACUGUCGUGACCCUCCUCGGCGACCUCUCUGUUGGACCCAAAAGAAUGCAAAGCCAUGGCUCCCCACGUUUUCAAAUACACAUGAACACGCAAAUCCAACUCUCUAGUCUUAAAAAGUGUCCAUUGAUCUCUGGCUUAGCGGGGACAGUCAGAUUAUGAGUUCAAUUCGAGGUUGUCAAGUUCGGCGCAAUUCCGAUCGGAAGUUCUGUUCAUAUUCUAGUUUGGACGUCCCCUUCUUCAAUGUAAUACUGGUGCAAUUUUGUUGCUGCUGCUUGUCAUCUUCCUUUUAGUCGGAAUUCUUGUAAUUGUCGGAGAUUCAAAUGUAUUGGAAAUCAAUUCAGUGUCGUUUGCUUCUGUUCGUUGCUGCGUUUUUCUCUAUUUGCAAGUUUGAUAUUGCUUCAGUCAGUUGAUGUGAAGGUUCGCUCACCGAUUCGAGUUACCGUCCGCGGUCCGAUACAUUUUCGAGUUUAAAGUAGUGCAACGAUCAAUUUUCGGCUAUAUCAAGGUGUGGAUCUACGUACCAGGACUCGAGCAUGACAGAUACCCCAGGACAAUUGCGUCCAGGAGUUACUUGAGGAGUCUUUUUAUAUUUUGAGCCUGUUUUUAAGUCUCUUAGGUGGUUUAAGAGUUUGUCGAGUCUUUCAUUAUCAUACUUUCUAUUUUGUAUUUGAAAGACCAAAAAAAUAUAAAUGAAAAAUUCAAAAAGAUUUUUGUUUCUUAA